rnacentral:rRNA from 1 species
CUGCUGCCUUCCGUAGGAGUCUGGACCGUGUCUCAGUUCCAGUGUGGCUGGUCAUCCUCUCAGACCAGCUAGGGAUCGUCGCCUAGGUGAGCCGUUACCCCACCUACUAGCUAAUCCCAUCUGGGCACAUCUGAUGGCAAGAGGCCCGAAGGUCCCCCUCUUUGGUCUUGCGACGUUAUGCGGUAUUAGCUACCGUUUCCAGUAGUUAUCCCCCUCCAUCAGGCAGUUUCCCAGACAUUACUCACCCGUCCG